rnacentral:ncRNA from 1 species
AAAAAGACUUUGACGAGAAGAGUAUUUCUUAAAACAGACGUUACAGCGAGCCGAUGGUGGUGUAAGUUCGGCACAGAGUUUGAGGAAGAAGAACAUCUCCGAGUUGCCAACCGAAAGCAUGCGAGUAGGCUUGGCCGUAUCCGUAACGUUACAAACGGUAGAUAUCGACAGAAAUGUCCGUAUCGAAGAGCUGGGUGAUAAACCAAUAUGGGUGGUACCGCGGAAGAGUAAGCUUUCGUCCCUAUC